GACGAACGCUGGCGGCGUGCUUAACACAUGCAAGUCGAACGGAGUGGCGAACGGGUGAGUAACACGUGUGUGACCUGCCCUGCACUUCGGGAUAAGCCUGGGAAACUGGGUCUAAUACCGGAUAGUUUGGGAUGGGCCCGCGGCCUAUCAGCUUGUUGGUGGGGUAAUGUCCUACCAAGGCGGCGACGGGUAGCCGGCCUGGGAGGGUGGACGGCCACAUGGGGACUGAGACACGGCCCAGAGUCCUACGGGGGGCAGCAGUGGGGAAUAUUGCGCAAUGGGCGGAAGUCUGAGGCAGCGACGCUGCGUGGGGGAUGACGGCCUUCGGGUUGUAAACUCCUUUCACCAUCGACGCGGUAGAUGGAGAAGAAGCACCGGCUAACUACGUGCCAGCCGCCGCGGUAAUAC
rnacentral:rRNA from 1 species